rnacentral:tmRNA from 1 species
GGGGGCGACCUUGGUUUCGACGGGGGUUGCAAAGCAGAUGGGUGCAUACCGGGAUUUCAGUUAUCCCGUAAAACACUGAAAAAUUAUAGUCGCAAACGACGAAAACUACGCUCUAGCCGCUUAAUCGCGCUAGACGCUACAACGAUAGGCUGGUGGAUCGGGUGGGUUACACCACUGUAGCGUCAUAUCACAUCAGCUCGCCUUUAAUCGGGUUACUUGAUUAAAGGUAAAACGCAAGGUAACUCGCUAACAUUAAGCCUGCCAAUUCGGCGUAAUGAAAGUUAAAAACAAAAGAAAUGGCUAAGUAUGUAGAACUCACUGUAGAGGACUUUCGGACGCGGGUUCAAUUCCCGCCGCCUCCACCA